CAACAGAUGUGGCGACCCCAACGGCCAGGGCGUCAUUUUGAUCUACAAUCUAGUUAACUUCGUGUUCUGGAUAUAUCUACAGUUCUACACUUGGCGAAGUACACUGCAGAAGUACUGGAUUAACAUUCGUUUAUUUCUACUAGAUCUACCCUACGUCUGUGCUAAUUAUCUGGACUGCAGCUGGAUUUUGGCAUCUUUGUUCCAGUGGAUCUAGACUUUCUAUUAGAGAAAAUUCGAAACCGUUACCAGCGUCUAGCUUUGUCAGCCAGGUUGGAUAUUUUUAGAUUGAACCUGGAUCUAUAUAUAGAUCUAUAUUGACUAUAUCUAUUGUGUCUGAAUCCUGAACUAUUUCGUCCGUUGAAGUGAUCUAGGGCAGUCCGUCGUCAGUAUACCUCUACCUAUAUACCUCAAGAGUGAAGAUACCUCAUUUAGUCAGGUAUAUCUGUUUAUUGUGAGUACGGAAAGUCACCUGAGUCUACAUAUCUAGUAUCUACAAGCUGACCGUUGGAGUCACCUUGUCAGGUUUGUUUUUCAAGCUAUUGACUGUUGCAGUGUUGCUGAGCUUGCAAUCUAAUCUACACACGAGUGAUGGUAUACCCUACUACCAUACUGCGUGACCAUCUAUUCAAAUUGUAAAGUUGACUAAUUUAUAUUCAUCAAAAGAGAGAGUUGGACUUAGUCAUUUUUUUUUACCUCUCUUGAGACAGCACCACCAGCUUGUCUCAGUAUUGACUUAUGUUCCUGACCUGAAGACAGAAGCCAGCACCAUACCAACAGAUCAUCAAGUGGAACCGGAACCCUGGAACCUGACCAGAGGACUUUAUCUGAGAACCGUACCAUACUGUGGCAGCACCAGGAGAGAUUGGCCUAACUCAGUACUGCCUGUCGAAUAGCCUUUGUGGGAGCACACCUUGCCUUGCCUAAGACUAAGAUAGUGGGGAACUUGUGUGGAACUGACCGUUGUAGCUCCGUGGACUGAACAAAGGGGAUCUAACUAAAGAUAAGUUUAUUUUUUCUCUCCAUUAUUAUUAAAGUCUAUUAGGGACAGUAGAUCUUUGUUAAGAGCAGGUUGCCUGAUAAGGGCGUCAUUAUAGGACACAUUAGAAAGUGGACCUGCUCCAUUUAAUAAAGUCUCGAUAAUUGUUUAGAUUGUCUUGUUUUGUUCGUAUCCACAUACAUUUUAUUUUUUUUUUAGAAGUCAGGUGAAGUUAUCUUUAUUUGUCUCUUUCAGUGUAUACUUCCUCUAAAAAGUCUCAUCUCAAUAGAUUUAUUUUUUUGUGUCUUAUUAUGUUUAUUUUACAUUAUUCUUAUUAUAUAUUAGUAAUUUUAUCUUAAGUAGAUAAGGUAAGCCACGUUUAAUCUAGAUUAUAAAUUCUAGAUUGUUUCCAGGUAUUAACUAAAUUGUUAUACCUAUGAGAGCCUUAGAUCUAUUUUAUCCUGAAGACAACUGAGUCUAAGGAGAAAGGUUUGGUGUGAUGUGAGGCGAUCAACAAUGCACGUAUAGCCAAUGACAGUAUUUACUCUGAAAAACUCUGUUUUAUGCCUAUGGAUUCAGCAAAGGCAUCUUCGUAUGUAGACUAUAUACAUGUGUAUUUACUCUGAAAAACUCUGUUUUAUGUCUGUGGAAUCGACAAAGGCAUCGUCGUAUGGGGACUGUAUACAUGUCUUGAUGGACUUAGUACUAUUGGUUGGUGAAACUAUUACACUGGACUAUACUAUUUUAUCGUCAAUGACAUGAGUGAUGAUUAGAACACCGUAUACCAGAUGUUUUCUUACUAAUAACUGUAUUGGAACUGUACAUAUUGUUUUCUUGGUGUCAACAUUCAACUACAGUGUGAACUUUGUGACAUAGGAACAUGGACACCAGGAACUGAUGAAGAUGGGAAACAUGAUGAUGUCCAUCAAGAUCAAGAUAUAUGUUUGUUUUGUCUUUCCCCAAAAUUUUGGCCAUGUAUAUUGUACAGACAUGACAGUAGGGAUAGUGUUUUAGACUGAAAAAAAAAAUUGACAAAAUUUUUUUUUUGAUAAAGGGGGGAGGAAAUAUGUAAUGACACAAAAUGCGUAGAAGUUGAUGUGAAUCGGGUUUUUCCUAAGUAAUGUGACGAGUAAGAACAGAGUAGGAUGACGAACAAGAAGAAUAACGGACAAGACGCCUAGGAGGACGACGCUAGGCUAGCGACGACAGAGGACUGUGCCCUUUUUAUUGUUUAUUAAAUUGUUGAAGUUA